AGGAACGUGGUUACUUGCGUGCAAAGAAACCGACAGUCAACGAACAUAAUAUAACAGAAACUAGGGGUAGAGAGCCAAAAAGAUACAAAAUAACAAGCUCCUAACUCAGCCUGCGAAGCCAAGGCUGGCCGAAGAAUAUUUACAUACAUAUAUACAUAUCCCAAAGCCCAAAAUACAUAAAUAAAAUCCUAGCUCUCCAUUAGCCUCUAAGAGGAACAAAAUAACAAGUCAAUCGGAGAGAGUUAAGUAUAUGUAUAUACAUAAGCUAUAUAUCAAAAUAAACCCAGGAACUACUCUGCUUCAGAAGUCCAGACGCCUAGCGAGC
rnacentral:lncRNA from 1 species